rnacentral:lncRNA from 1 species
UCUCUCAACUUUUAUAAUUUAAAAUUUUAGACGAUGAGAUCAGCUCUUGCCAUAACCUAUAUGAAAACUAUGUAAGCUUAGACUUUUGAUGAAAAAGUAUAUUUUUUUACAAAACUUUAAAUAAUAAUUUUUUCUCAACAUUUAUAAUUUAAAAUUUUAAACGAUGAGAUUCAAUAUUUUCUUUGCCUUGCAUUCUGUAAGAUGAGGUGUUUCAUCACUUUUGCCUGGUAAAUAUUUUGGAUUUGAUGCAUUCUUUACCAUACCCUGAGCCACAGAUGGGAAAAGCACAGCAUGAUCAAAUAAUAAUCGUUCAUUACUUGCAACAUAUAAUCAAAAGAUGAACAAAAAGCUAUUUCAAACUGUGAUUUGCUUAAUUUAGAUCAUGAAGAUUAGGUAUAUUUCAAUAAGAAAUCAACGAACUUUGCUAUAUAUAUGUUUGAUGGCAGUUUCCAUCCCAAUUAUACUCAUGAAUAGGUCACAUUCUGGAAAUUACUAGGCAUGAAAGCCAAUACGAUAAGAAGUACAAGCAAGCAAAUAGGAACCAGAAGCAGCAUAAAGGGUGGAGGCGGCAAUGGCGGAAGUACGAGCGGCAAGAUCAGUAACGACGCCGUGAUGCAGACGAGCAGCAACAGCGAUUCCAACGUAAAAUACCGGAACAUUCUUUUCCCGUGUUCUUUCGACGAUGAUCCAAAACUAUCUGAUUUCCUUAAUUCAACCAAAUGGGCGCCACUCUUGUUAAGGAUACUAGGACGUUUUGCUGCUCUUACCUUCAUGAUGCUGUUUAAGCACUGAACUUGAAGAUUAAUCAAACCUUUCAGCAAUGCCAGACUCCAUUCGGGCUAUUCCAUGCUCAUUUAAACGAUAGAUGCCGUGCUUUUUUUGGAGUGAGUCGAUCUUAAUCCCGAUUAACUUGAAGUAUAUUUCGAUCUUGAUGGCUUGAUUAUUCGAAUUUUCCUACGCAUUUACCGAAAGAAAUCCACAAUCUCGGUCUAAACUCUUAAGCUUCAAAGGUCUCUAGGCGAGAUGGUUAACGCGUUGGUUACAGUACUUCACGGGUCGAUACGCACAACUCACAGUCGACGGAUAUCCUACUGCGAUUAAAAUGCAGAAAUAUAUCAGAAAUGAUGGAUUUUCUUUGAAUUCGAAAAUGAAUACCAUUUUGCAUUAUAUUAACUUAUUAGAAAGAAGAAAAAGAAAGUGCUAAGAAUUUUCAGUUUCUACUUUUUGAAAAAUCAAAAAGUUGAAUAGAUAGGCGUCUAAGAAAAGCAUUUAACAUGAGAAAUCAAUUCAAAAACGGAAAAUAGUUAAUCAAAAGAGAAUGAUUGACCAGAGAAUCACAUCAUAAAUCAAACAAAUCCCACAUUCAGUAUCCUGGUUUCUAUCAAGAAAAUCACAUUUAAAAUCUUGAAAAACGAAAAAAUAGGUAAAGGGUUCGAUUAAAUACAAACAUUUAUGUACCUUUUGAUGAUCCUUUUUCUUCUACAAAACCCGAUCCGUCAAUAUAUAUAUAUAGAACGAGCUAAGAUACUUAAUAUAAAGAAAAAAGAGGUAGAGGCAAAGAUCAAGUUGAUAAUGAUACGUAAUAUAAGGAAAUUAAUGUAUGUGAAUUGAGUAUUGAAUUAUGGGCUGCGAAAUGUUGACACUGAUCUAGUUUUUGACUUGUACAGUGGGGAAUUUAUUUAUUUAUUUAUUAUUAUUAUUAUUAUUAUUAUGGGUG